rnacentral:rRNA from 1 species
CCUACGGGAGGCAGCAGUGGGGAAUAUUGCACAAUGGGGGAAACCCUGAUGCAGCGACGCCGCGUGAGUGAAGAAGUAUUUCGGUACGUAAAGCUCUAUCAGCAGGGAAGAAAAUGACGGUACCUGACUAAGAAGCCCCGGCUAACUACGUGCCAGCAGCCGCGGUAAUACGUAGGGGGCAAGCGUUAUCCGGAUUUACUGGGUGUAAAGGGAGCGUAGACGGCAGCGCAAGUCUGGAGUGAAAUCCCAUGGCUUAACCAUGGAACUGCUUUGGAAACUGGGCAGCUAGAGUGCAGGAGAGGUAAGCGGAAUUCCUAGUGUAGCGGUGAAAUGCGUAGAGAUGAGGAGGAACACCAGUGGCGAAGGCGGCUUACUGGACUGUAACUGACGUUGAGGCUCGAAAGCGUGGGGAGCAAACAGGAUUAGAUACCCCUGUAGUC